CCUACGGGGGGCUGCAGUGAGGAAUAUUGGUCAAUGGACGAGAGUCUGAACCAGCCAAGUAGCGUGAAGGAUGACUGCCCUAUGGGUUGUAAACUUCUUUUAUAUGGGAAUAAAAUGUUCCACGUGUGGGAUUUUGUAUGUACCAUAUGAAUAAGGAUCGGCUAACUCCGUGCCAGCAGCCGCGGUAAUACGGAGGAUCCGAGCGUUAUCCGGAUUUAUUGGGUUUAAAGGGAGCGUAGGUGGAUUGUUAAGUCAGUUGUGAAAGUUUGCGGCUCAACCGUAAAAUUGCAGUUGAAACUGGCAGUCUUGAGUACAGUAGAGGUGGGCGGAAUUCGGGGUGUAGCGGUGAAAUGCUUAGAUAUCACGAAGAACUCCGAUUGCGAAGGCAGUUCACUGGACUGCAACUGACACUGAGGCUCGAAAGUGUGGGUAUCAAACAGGAUUAGAUACCCGAGUAGUC
rnacentral:rRNA from 1 species